GUAACUACAACUCAGAUCAAGACAUAGAACAUUUCCUUCACCCAGAAGAUUCCCUCAUUCCCCUUCCCCAUAAAAAGCCAUCUGAUCUGCCCACAGGUUUGUACCCUUGUGAUCUCAAGAUGGCUGCCAAAGCUCCAGGUUUCAAAUCCUUACAAUACCUCAAUGAAAAACACAAAGAAGGGGGAAGGGAGUUCUUGUGUGUGGGCUCAAUAUUUGUGGAGAUCUCAGCAGGAACCAUUAAAAGGAAAGACCAAUUGAAAAAAGUGAGGAGAAGAAACAAAGAGAAUGUUUUUCAUGUUAUGAUAUGUCUAUAUAAUUUAUAAAUUAUAUGGCUAGAGAAAUUGUAGAAUCAG